CGAGACGAUCCCGCAACAAGGCGAGGAGGAGAAGCGCACAGCGAGUGCUUAAAGUGUCAUUUAAGUGCCGGGCACAGCUGCGCCUCGUCCGGAGCCGAGCGCAACGCCCGCCCCAAAGCCUCUUAAGCUCCUCCGGGGGCUGCCGGGAGCUACGAAGGCGCUCUGCGCAGUCCCUCGCCGGGACGCGAUGAAGGAGGUUGUGUGAUGCUGUUCCUCUGCCCGAGGCGCUGCUGGGGCUGCUUGGAAGCCGAAACCUCGGGGUUCUGUUUAACGUUGUCUGUUGCGUUUGGUUCUUUUAUUCAGGCUGCAGGAGGGCGUCGGGAUCCGCCCCGGCCGGUGAGCCGUACCGAUAGCGAUGGAGGUGGUGAGCGCUCGGCGGUCCUUGGGGGGCUUUCCGCCUGGGGUGAGAGGCUGCCGGGCCCUCACCGUGCUCUUUUUGGGGCCGGCGUAGAGCUACCGCUGGGCUCCCUCGACUUUUCAGAGCCGGGAUUGCAGCGCUGCCUGCUUUCUGUUGUAUUUGGUUUGCUUUUUUUCCCCCCUCAACUUUUUUUUUUUUUAGGGAGUGCUUCAGUUCUUCAGUUCAUUCUGCUCUCAUCAGCGGGAGUGAGCGAGAUGGGGCUGUGCUUCUGCAGCCUCAGCACUGCUGGGAGAGAGGAGCAACACGAAGGGCUGCUAAAACCAGGUGUUUCCCUAUUGCGGCUGGAGCUGCAGCAGGGCCUCUCUUCAUCCCAAACCGGCGAGGUUGUGGAAGUGUUGAGAGUUUGGGAGUCAGUAGGUGAGCUCUCUCCCCUUUGGACUUGGGUAGGGUUGCUGCUGAGCUAUCUCUGUUUCUUCAGGAUCAGCACGGUGCUGCUCUUGGAGGCCAAGGGAGACCUCUGGGUGGCCUCAGCCCCCCAAAAGGGUUUGUAGGUCCUUCAGCUCCUGCCUCCAGCAGCGGGAGCGAGCAGCAGGAUGGGACUGGGUGUUUCCACCUUCCUUAUGUGCAUGACCUCAUUCCCAUCGUGGUGGGUGAACUUGUAUGCCUGGAAUGCUGUUUGUUACGGAUUGCAUGUUUUUUUUCCAGAAGGACAAUCCAGCAGGGUGAUGGAGUUGCUUUUCAGGUGAGAGAGCUGGAAAGGAUUGAGCCCUGCCUAGGGAUGAAUGAACAACUAGAGGAGUGCUUGUGAGCUGUGACUGCUGAGGAUGCUCCUUGACGAUCCUGGAUCCCAGAGGAAAGCGUCUUUGAGGAAGGAUGCCUUCCUGAUCGCAGAGGAGGCGGCAAAGAUCACGUGGACAAAAUUAGUGCCCCCCAGGAAAGUUGUGUGAGGACGGGAGGAUAGCCAGCAUCACGGCAGCCUUCAAAAAGGGAACUUGAAGAGUUUGCUAUGAAGCAGUCAAGGUGGAAUCACUGAGGGGAAAUUGUGCUGCUCCAACCUGGGAGCGUCAGGUCAGAGAAGAGCAGGGGAUGCUGCAAGCCUGACUUCAGUGUUUCUGUUGGCGUUUUUGUAAUGAAGCUUAACAAGUGUGAGAUGGUGACCUGGAUGAAGGGAGAGUCUCUAAUGUCGGUGAGUGAGCGGAUGAUGCGAAGCUGGGAGGAGCAGCGACAUUCAGCGGGACCCCAUGAACUGUGGAGAGCAGGUCAAGCGGAUGGGAAAGUUGUACAUGGGGUCCAAUGGAGGGCAAUGAAGAUGAUGAGGGGCCUGGAGCAUCUCUCUGUGGAGGACUGGAUGAGGAAUCUACUUCUGUUUCACCAAGAGAAGGAUGGAGGCUGCAAAGGAGUGUUUGUUUUUUUGGCAAGGAUCUGCCUGAACAUGAGUGGUUUCAUCAGUGGUGGAAUGGAGGAGGUAAGAGCCCUCAGUUGUGUUGUGUAGGUGUGGAGGCUCCUUUGUCAGAGGUUUGGUGCUGGAACAAGGAUUGCUGUGUGACUGCCUCUCCAGAGGGAGGUGUUUUUCCAGUGGAGUGGAAUUGAUGGAGCAUUCAGAAGUGGUGCCUUUUGGUGGAGCUUCACUUGGGCUGUAGCAGAAGAAUUGGAGCUGACUUAACAGUGUGUGCCCCAAAAAUACUGGGAAUGAAGUUUGCUUCCAUAGUGUGAGAAGCAGGUGAGUAGAUGUCAGUUUUAGAGAAGAAUUACCCGCUUGCAGCAGUUUCUUUUGAAAAGAUUUUCUACUGCAAGUAGAGAUGCUCUGUGUUACCUGUGGAAAUAGGAUGCCUAAGUAUCUGCACUAAAAUAAUGGCUGGACUGAGCUAGCUCAAGUUUUCCUGGUGUAGUGGAUACCUGGCAGUCUCCAACUUGAAACAAAAAGCAAAGAAUCUUGCUUACCUCAGGGAAGAAAUGUAGCGCCUACCAGUUAUUUCUGUGCUUGGGACUUCUUCCCUUGCUGCUGAACUGACUUCUUCUUGGGAGAAGAAAGUGGAGGACGAGGACCGCUUCUGCAGUUGGCCAUUUAGCACUGCAAGUUCUGUAAGGAAAAAAGUGAGACUUAAGUUAAUAAUGAAUAUCUUCACAGGUUGUCUACUUCAGCACUAUGGUGUGUCAGACUUGCUUGACUCACCAAAUGAAACCAGUACUUUUCCAGUGUUUGCAUUGUUGCAGCGGAAUUCCUGGAGAGAAGCGUUGCUUGAGUUUGGAAGGGCUUCUCGAGUGUGAAGGUAGGAGUGCUGUCCUGAGAGCUGAGCGGCGUUGACUCUUGCAAAAAGAUGGUUUCCUUUUUUCAGAUAGGUAAGUCAAACCACUCUCAGCAAACCAAUGGAGAAACCAGAGACUAGUGCAUCUCUAUGGUACCCUUUGGGUUAAGUUAGGGUAAGUUAGGUCCUGUGAACCUCUCUGCCAAAGGGAGACUGAACUCUAACCUGAAUGACAUGCAUCAUAUUUUGCAUUUUUCUUUUAAUUGGAAGAAAUGGAACUAACUUCAGAUUCUGCCUUUGCAUUAGAUGCUUGUAUAAAAACACUGUAUACAGUAUGUAAGACUUGGCAAUUAUUAAUUGGUUUCACUUGCAGUUAGUUCUGCUGCUGUUGCAGUGCAACACCUAGAUAAUUCAGGACAGAAAGUGGAGCUAAUUUACUUACCUGUGACACUGAAGUCAAGUCUUUAGCAAAACAGAGUUUCCAUGAGUUAUUAGGUUAUUUUACUCAUUAGUGCAAGCAGAUAACUACAGGUGAUUAACCUGUUGCUUCUUGUACUAAACAAAACACAUGAAAGCUUCACCUUACAUACAAACUCAAAGAAAUGCCUGUUUCUUCCUUGUUUAUAGAAUCAGAAAGCAGCCUGGGUUGGAAGGAACCUGUGUCUCCAAGCUCUGCACUGCUCUGCCUCAACUUCAGUUGCAUCUCUGUGAGACUCAUCAAAGCCUGGGGAUGACCAGUGUCAAUGACAGUUUGCAUUCUGGUUCUACUCAAUUUUCACAUUUUCAGAUUCAAAGUAACAAUUUCUACACUAGGAGGAACUUAGCUGUGACACCUGGGCACAAAUUACACCUUUGGAGACAAACUUCAAGAUUUGCAAACUUCAAGAUUUGUUUCCUAUAGGUACAGGCCUGAAUCAAACACCCCUUCUGCAUCACGUUGCAGCCUGUUUCCCAAGGUUUCCAGGUGACUCAAACAUUUUUAUCUUCAUUUUUACUGCAGAGUCAGCAGUUAGUUAAUACAUGAACUGAAAUAAAACAAAAAACAACCACCAACUGGAGGGGAAGGUAGAAAACACUCUUGCUGUGAAACAGGCUCCAGGCCAAGAGUGGUUCCCUCUGCUUGGUCCAGUUACAGUUCAGAGGCUCAUUCCUUGGAAGCAAAAUCUUAUAAGUAAACAUGGAGCUGAGCCUCUCUCUGCCCUUUAUCCCCUCCCAUGAAGCCUAUUUUUUUUUAUCCCAUUCAACUCAAAGGCACCCUCAGAACACUGGACUAAAUCUGCCUGUAAUAAAAUAAAUCUAAUUCUGGUCACAUUAAAAUACAUCACAGACCUUCAAAGGAAUAGUGCUAGGCUGCCUAAUGAAAAAUAGAGUGCUUCAAGUGAGAUAAACCAACAUUCUGACCGUAAGCAAGAACAAACUGGGAUCUGGUGUCACAGGAUAUUCCUUCUCUCUGGGUUUUUGCAUAUUAACCAGCAGACAGGUUUGUGGAAGAUGACUUAUUGCUCUCAGUUUUACCACAAGGAAAAUACAUAAUGUUUCUAGCUGAUCGGUAACAUGAAGUUCAACUCUGUCCCAGUACGUUCAUGCAUGGCCUAACAAGUGAAAUUACUUAAAAGAGAGCCCUCAAUGUCAAAAAAGGCUUUACAAAAAUGACUCAGUGAUUUUUCAGCUACUUGCCCUUACUGAGUGCAGAGCCCUCUGUCCCUCUAAGUUUUAGCAGCUCUGUAUGAUUAUUAUUGAAUGGGAACCUCCGUUAUCUCAGUGUUGACUGAGGUACAAAUGCCCAUUGGAGUGACUGAGGGAAAGGGCAGUGAGUGUUUGCUUUGGCUGUUUAGCCAAGCUAGACUUAUGUUAUGCAUCCUGAUUUACAUGUAAUGUGGAGAUGUAACGUGGAUGCCCCAUCCCUGGAGGCGUUCAAGGCCAGGCUGGAUGCGGCUCUGGGCAACCUGGUCUGGUGGUUGGUGACCCCACACAUAGCAGGGGGGUUGGAACUAGAUGAGCAUUGUGGUCCUUUGCAACCCAGACCAUUCUAUGACAAGUGAAUCAAAAAGACUUUAAACAGAGGAAAAUAAAAAAGAGGAAACCGUAGAUGUCACAUACAAACGUCUGAGAAAUAAUCUGAGCAAAAGUUAACAUUUGCUCCUUUUUAUUUUGAGCAAUGUUAAAUAUGGUUUUCCUGCACUUUGCAGUGUCAGCUAACAGCCUGCUAUAUCCUUAGCUCAGCCAUAGCUGGACAAAUCAGUCCCUUUACAGACACCCACACAGUCCAUCUUUCCCCAACCCAUUGGCCACCAGUUCACACACACAAGGAAUCAUCCAGUAGGUACAAUGACCAGUCACCGCUGCAGCUGCUGCUGUGCCUUUGAAGGAAACACAAAGUUACUGCUUGUCUUUCUUCCCCUCCCUCCUUUCUGGAGGCUUCUAGGCUGUAAGCGUGCAGGAGAAAACUGGAACUGCUUAGGCCUCCCCUGCAACAGGUCCGUUUCUGAACAAAGUUAUGAAACCAAGAGAAGAUACGGGCUUCUUCAUCAACUUUUUUAAAACACCAAAGAAAAAUCAUGUUUAAAGGUGAUGCUAUUAGCUGAAGACAACAGAAAAAGGGUGGCAACUUUCCCUAUAGAGAGCUCAAGAUGUGUGUGUCGUCAAUGCUUCCGGGACCCCUCCUGGGCUUCAGCAAGCACGCAGGCCAUGGCUAACAUUUCCAACCCUGAAACCCAGCCCUCCAAGAAAAGAGUAAAUCAAAAUACAUAACGUAGGGUGAUGCAGGGCUACUUCUUUCAUUUCAUCUUCACAGCACAGAGCUCUCUCUGCAAGACAGAUACGCAAGUGUAUUAAGCCCACUGACACCUCUCCAAAAGCUUAUUUGCUGGCUAAUUAGACAGUUGAAAAGAUCAACAGGUCGAUGGAAUUGAGAUAAUGCUAUCCAAUGUAAUUACUACAAUUGCAAUAUUUUAGGAAUUGAAGAACAACUCCGUUCGACCUAUGCCAAAAAGCCUAUAUACAGAAGUCCGUACUUAGGUGGUUAUUUUUCUCUAUCGGUUCAUAAUUGCCUUCUGUUUUUAAUCACAGCUUCUUUCUCCAACUGUUGCAAAGAUGGCACUGUUGUUUUUUCCUGCGUAGCCUGAAGUCCCCAGUGGCUACAGUCCACUUCUCUCCACCGCUGACGUUUAAGGUGCUGACAGCCCCCAAGCGCCCGAGGGAUCCUGCUGUCUUCGGCAAGGUCUCAUUUCAUUUAAUUUCAUAUUUAAAGCUUCCGUGACCUUUUUGAACAUGUAAAUGAUAAAAAUACUUUCACACACGGAUGUAUCGAGCGCCACGUCCACCUAGGCUUGUUAAUAAACCUCGUUGCUCUGUUUCUGCUGGCCCGUGGCUAUAUUAGCUGUCUGCUCGCCUUAUUUGUGAGAUAUAAAUAGCCAGGGACUGCACACUCGCUGUCUAGUUACAUCGAGAUAACAGUGAUUUUAAUACUCUUAAACAAGCCUGUCUCCUGACGCGGGUCUGUCCAGAAUGCUCACUCUUACCUAUCUUCCUUCUUCGUGUUUGAGUGGGAGAUUCGUAAGCAAAAUUUCUCAGCCACCAAACGUGCCAAUAGAAAACAAAAGGGCCACUGAAGGGCGUUUUUGCACUGUUCACACGCUGCUGUUGGAAAGUAAUUCUCCAUACCAUUUCUUAUGUUUGGGCUCAAUAACAUUUCAUACCCGUACCGCACAGUGGUUCUGACCCAGUCACGCUGCAUUGGCUUGAAUCAGAAAGUCCCAGACUCAUCUCAGGGCUAUGCUAUAUCAUUCUUACUGCAAAUUGAAGAUAGCUGGUACUCCCUUCCCAAAAGGCCUCGAGCCUCAACACAGUAAUGCCUUACAGUGAAGUAAAGCAGAGAGAGGCAGAGAACUACACUCAGUAAGGGAUUGAACUAACAACAGAAUUUAAACAGGAUUUAGGUGAGGAUUGGCAUCUAAAUAAACAGUUGUGAGCUAAAGACCCUUGGCUCUCAGGGCAUCUCCUUCUGUGACCGAAAAGGUCUCUAGGGCCGCUGUGAGGGUACAGAGGGAGAACUGCAUCCUGGCUUCCCAGCAUCUAUUUUUCUGCUGAACUAAGUGCACGUGCCCUGUAAGGCACGCCCAGAGCACGCUGGACACCCUGCCUUAGCCCCAGGUCGCGCCACUUGUUCAGGUAUCGUUUGGGUAACUGAUCUUUCAGUGCUAAAUGCCGACUACAGCAUCCUCAGAGAGAAGCUCUCUCUCUUGGAGAAGCUGAUAGCCCUAAGCACUGCAUUACAGAGCACUGAGAGUCCCCCACAGGAACAUGCUGCCCCUGGAGGACGGCUAGUCUAGUCAGGACCUAAUGCAAACCAUGGAAGUACAGGUAUCUGUGGAAUAACAUACCACUUUGGCUGCGUACAAAAUGAGAUACAAUGAGUAAGUUCAUCAAGGACAUUAUAGCCUCUGGAGAAAUCCUUUACAAUAGCUGCGAUGAGUAACAUCUCACUCCAUGACUCUGUUGACUUCCAUCUUCCCCUAUAGUUACAUGGAUUACCCUGGAAGCAAUGCCUCCUCUUUAUUUCUACAGAAACUACAGUGAAUAAAAAGAGCACAAGAACACUAUUUGAUAGUGUUUUGUGGCUGAGAACUUGCUCUGCUUUUCAACAUAGUCACCGCUGCUAGCUAUAGACUUUGUCGCAUGGCUAUAUCUAAGUAUGCACGCAUUAUUACGUACUUGUGAAAACUUUUCCACAUAGCUGUGCUGUAAUUUGCAUUCACAUCUUACAUUUAUAUCCGUAAGAGGACUUCUGCCGGGCACGGGUGAGCACCGUUGGACUAUACAAUGCUUGAUAGCUGGGGGCAACAGUGCAGUGGCAACAACAGAGAAGUGAGGUGCAGCAGCAGCGGAUGCAGAAAAGAAAGAAACUCCUUACCUUUACAAGACCUGUAAAAUCCUCAAGAGGUGCAGAGAGCUCUAGAAGACAGUCUUUCUCCUCCCCCUGCUGGCCCUUAAAUGAGGUCUGGGAAGGGGUGGAUCCUGGCUCCACCCCUUCUAAUUGGCUGCAUUGCGUUCACCUGGGUUGGCCCUGGCUUGGCCCUGCCUUCCACCAGGUGCUCAAUCACUGCUUCGGACCGUGACUUGAUGUCUCUUAUGCAGACAUCAAUAAAAUCUCUGACUUGAUUUUUGGCUACGUAAGGAACUGUACGUCAGAGUCGUGGUUUUCUUCCAGUUCCUCUCUACUGAGUUCACUGCUUCUUCUUUACUUGUUAUUCAGUGCUUGCUGUCUUCCCAUCAGCAGCCGUCCACCUUCGAAGCGAUUGGUGUCAGAUGUCAUUUCUCAUGGCCGGUUUCCCUGGCUUUCGCUAAUGCAAACUGAUGUACAACAUUUGCACUUUGGAGCGGUUCGAAGCAGUGAUUUCCAUUUUCAUACCCUCGUGCGCUUCGUUCAGUUAUUUCUUCUGCAGUACUUGUUGCCCUCCUCGCACUGAAAAAAAAAGUGAAGCAGAACUUCGAUUAGGUCUAUGCGAGUUAUCCUCCAGCCUGUAAAAUAGCCUUCCUGCACCAUAAUCCAUUUUCUUUGCUUCUGAUAGCUACCUGUCCAAACAAGUCCUUGCUGUUUGUAUUAAAGUCCGUGCCCACGUGCCCAAUGCUUUCUGAAAAAUGACUUCCGUUCUCAUUUUGUUUCCUUACAUAAAAGCGCCUAGGAUCCAUUCCUCAAAAGCUAUGCUUUUUCUCCAUGCUACUUACUAACAUAAUGCUCCUCCCGGUCAGCUCAGGAACCUUCCCUGGCACUCUGUGGACGCACGGUUUGCCACUCAGGUUUUUCACAGGGUGCAUAAUCGUGGUGUAAUUCCUGUGUUUCGUGACUCACAGCGCGCUCUAAACUGAAGUAACUCAGCAGGCUUCAAGAGAAGCACGGUUUUAUGGUCAGUCAGGUCCGACUAAACUGUUGCGUGCAUUUCAGAGCAUCCUACAGAAUAUUUGUAUUGUAUUCUAAAGAAUACAAGUAAUAUACCUAUUAGCCUGCCCAGAAACAUUCCUGGGGCAGCUGGGGAGAAAAACAGUGAUGUGCCGUUUAGUGGCCUUGAAGCGGGAUGCGCGCAAGGGUCUCCUCUGGGGGGUAUCAAACGCAAGGAUAUAGUAUUGCAUUUAUUGUUGGGCUCAGAUCUCCAUUGGCCUGAGGUUCUUGACUCGCGUAUGUUUGCACGAGCGGGUUUUUCACGAGCCUAUUCCUGCCUGCCCAGAUAUUUUUCCGUGGCACGUCAUAUUCUUUUGUUUUCCCCCGCUCAGAAGUGAAGUCUCUGUCAGCAGGGCUCUUCCUGUCUUUCUCGCCAGCUGCCUUCAAACAGAGAUUUUAACCGAUACUUCAGACGUUCAGGGUGGGUAUUCCCUUUCUCAUCCCUCUGGAAACUCGCCGAAGCCGCCGCUGUUUUAUUUGCCAAUACUGGAGGCCUAUUUUUAUAGCCAGAGCUCAAGGUGUGUCUAAACCAGGCCUUAAAUUUUUGGACCGAUCUUGACAGCUCGUUGUUAAAG
rnacentral:lncRNA from 1 species